GUCUUAGUAGUGGCAGUAUCAUAGCCAAUGAAGUUAAUCUGAGGUGUGAUUAUUGCUAGUUGAAAACUUUUCUUUCCCUCCCAGAACAAACACUGAGGUAUUCUGAUUGCACUCCUUUUAUUGGG
rnacentral:snRNA from 1 species